CGACCUUGGCCACGGGAAGUUGAAACCACACUGAAACCAUGACGCUCAUGUAGUUGUGCCCUAGCUCAGUGUUGCCAGCAACACCAGAAACUUAAGUUCAGUAGUCUUUCCACCUCACAUGUGCCCACACAGCUGAAAGUUAUCUCAGUGGAAAGGACAGCGAUGGAUAUUCAGGUUAUACUGAGUGUAGCGCUGACGCUUUUGUCAACACGAGCGGAUAACUGCAUGGAGGACCAACAGUGCACAAACUGCUCAAGCUCAACACAAUACUGUAUUGCAGAUUGCUUUUCAGGGUAUUUUGGCCUAAAAUGCAAGUCCGGUUGCAGCAAACAAUGCAUCAACAGUAUAUGUAGUCAGACGCUGAGUGGCACUUAUAGUUGCUCUGAAGGUUGUGUACCUGGUUUCUAUGGUACUCGAUGCAAUAUCCCGUGCACACUUCCGACGAAAAGGUGCACAAAAUGUCCUCAAGAAUGUGAUGGAACGUUCUGCCAUCUGACAACAUCUUGUGUUUCUGGAUGUCAUGACCAAUACUAUGGGUCCAACUGCAAGAAUUGUUCACCCAGAUGUCGACAAUGUAACAGGAUAACAGGCAGAUGUGAUGUGUGUCAUGAUCCUUAUCAUGGCGUGGACUGUGAAUACUCAUGUGAACAUUGUUCAACAACUGAUUGUGUACAGACAUGCGCACCUGG